GGACCUGACGAACGAUGAGAACGUGUGGAGUGCCUUGGCAGGUGCACUGCCUUACAGUCUUGCGAGAACAGGAUUUGACCAGAUGGCAGUUCAACGGUUCAUUGCAGCGAGGACUUUACGAGAAGCAAAAAGGAUUGUCAUCACCGGUGCUCUCUUCGUAUUAUCAUUCUUCGCAUUCGCAGCUGUCGGCGCCCUUGCGAUAAUAUACUGGUACAGGGACUGCGAUCCAGUUCUCGCUGGUGUCAUCAGCAGCUUUGACCAGCACGGUGUCGUCAAUCGUCAAUUCCCAUGCGGCCACAUUCUACAUUGACAUCGUUUCACCGUAUGUCAACAUGAGCGACAGGACAGCCACGAACGUAAUGCGCCUUCUAGCAUUGGCAAGCGGCACCAUAAUGACCCUAUUUGCCAUCGCAGUACCAUUUCUCGGCACAGCUUCAAGG